UACGGGGGGGGCAAGCGUUGUUCGGAAUUACUGGGCGUAAAGGGCUCGUAGGUGGCCAACUAAGUCAGACGUGAAAUCCCUCGGCUUAACCGGGGAACUGCCUUUGAUACUGAGAAGCUUGAGUCCGGGAGAGGUGAGUGGAACUGCGAGUGUAGAGGUGAAAUUCGUAGAUAUUCGCAAGAACACCAGUGGCGAAGGCGGCUCACUGGCCCGGUACUGACGCUGAGGUGCGAAAGCGUGGGGAGCAAACAGG
rnacentral:rRNA from 1 species